rnacentral:rRNA from 1 species
UUUUAUAAUUAAAUUAAUUUUAAAUUAUUUAUUAAUUAUUUUAUUAAAAUUAUUUUAAUUAUUUUGUUGGGGUGACAAAAAAAUAAGUAAAACUUUUUUUAGUUUUUAACAUAUAUAAGUGAAUAAAUGAUCCAAUUUUAUUGAUU